AUGUCUAACUUGGCAAUCGGAGUUUGGAACUGUAUGUAUGUCUCAGGUUAACAGUGCCCCUGUAUUUACAGGCCACUUUGACUGCCUGUCAUUCGGGGACAAUUCUUGCACCACAUUUCAGCAAUUCCUACUAUGCCUUCAGUCAGGUUGGGGGUGUGCAUUCAGGACAAUCGGAAGGAACCUGACUGGUGACUCUAAUAUGAUGGACAUGGAGCACAUUGCACCUCGACCAACAGGAUUCCAAGGGGGGGGAAAAGAGGAAUUCUGCUGAGACUUGCUUCCCUAGACAGUCAGCAGAUAAGGGCUGCAAACAGGAUCAUGGACAUGAGGAAACACAAACUGCAGUCUGAUCAAUACACUCUGAAAUAUGACUCUCCACGGCCCAAAAUGGAGUUUUCGAGCCAGGCAAACCAUUACCGACUGAUCUCUCUCUCUGCCUUAGAUAGAUGCCCUGAAGGAAAACACAGCAGCAAUUGGUCAACUUGUUUCUGGCUUUGAACAGGCCAGAGAAUCACUUAUUAUUUUUAAGGACAACUGUGUGCAAAUAAAAAGUCUGGGGCAGCCAAACUCCGGAUGAGGG